rnacentral:misc_RNA from 1 species
UUGAUUCUUAUGUGAUUCAGACAUACGACUGAUUUACGCGUCGAGGCGGCGCCGGAGCGCCGAAGCACGGGUCGCUUCCACUUGGUUUGUGAGUCGAGGGACACGAGGGCCCCGUUCGAUAAUGAUCCCUCCGCAGGUUCACCUACGGAGA